rnacentral:sRNA from 1 species
AAACGCACUGAUUCGAGUGUAUCCGAC